rnacentral:lncRNA from 1 species
UUGAUGUAUAUAACAACCUAAAUUAACCCCUAAUUAAACCAGCCCCUUUCAAAAAAACUCAGCUUCGGCCAGGUGCUGAAGCGUGGAUGUCUUUUGGUUCCGGUUGGUGUCAUCAACCGAGACUAAAGGCCCCCUGCCUGGCGUGGCCGCAGCGGCCACGUGGAGGUCCAUCUGUCCCGGUUGGUGUAAGAACCGGGACUAAAGGCCGAGGGCAUUAGUAACGACCUUUUAGUCCCGGUUCCAAAACCGGGACAGAAGGCCCUUACGAACCGGGACAAAAAGCCCUUUUUCUACUAGUGUGUUGCCGCUUUUAUGUGCAAGUCUCGACUACAACAACCAACAAGAUGUUUGCCAUGUUGUUCAAUCCUGGUUAUCAGACUUUCUGUCACACACAUCUUCUACAUGACAUCAGCUGGUAUACAAGUAACUAUUCAAGAAGGGAGGGAUGUGAGAGACGACACUGACUUCCUCGACAAAGUUUCACAUGGUAACAACUACUACCUCAACCAUGACCGUUUCUCCAAGCUCGAUCAAGCCAACCUGAACUAUGGCUACCACAAUGACAACUACCACGGCGACUCUGACAUGAUCGAGGACCUUCAAGCACCCUGGGAUCCUGGCGAGCUCUUCAUGACGGCGGCUUGGGGGCAAGCCGCAUUUCAAGAAGGGAGGAAUGUUAGGAGCCCUUCUAUCACCAUGUACCUGGGCUGGCCCCUUGGACCAGCAAACAGGCCUGGCCCGUUCGGGAACUACCGAGACGAUAAGAACGAGAGACAAGGCGACGGGAGAGGCAUCCAGUGGAUCACGACUCGAACCGGCGGCGGCUACCUCCUUCCCUUCCCCCUCCGCUUCCCCUACCUCUACUUCAUCUGUGUAUCCAAUUCCUGUAAUAGCUAUUGGAUUCGUAGGAUCAUAUGUGGUAGAUCGUGUAUUGGUGUGUACCACAUCCGUAUCCUAACAUCAAGACGCCUUCCAUCUAUCAUCACCAUUGGUGACUUUAACAGAGAAUGCAAGACAUAUCAUGUGCAAAGACCUAUGUGUUUGUCAUCCUGAGACCUGCCAUUCCUAGAUAACCCUUAAAACAGUAUAUUAGUUUCUUGGCCAUCUGGCAAGCUAGAGAUUUCAACGUGAGAACUCAGUACCAAAAUGACCGAAUAGCACGAUGUACUACUAAUAUGCUAUAUAUGCACCCAAAUGCCAACCUUAUACUCUUUGUAGCACCUUGGAUUUGCUUCGGCUCACAUUUAAUCACAAGGAUGCAUCGGAGAUUUUAUAGCCACCGGACAUGAUUGUGAUUGGUCUAGACAACUGUCGAGGAUUCAGUUAUGAAGUUGUCGUGUGUUGUCUGCUCUAAAUGUGUGACCUACCUUGUCAUGUGCGUUGGCUCCAAAUGUUAUACCUGCCUCUACAUGGACAUGGUUGAGGUUGAUCUUAACCAUGGUUGAAUAUCCAUCUUAACCUUCAAUAUCAAAAUCAUUGUUUGGCAAUUAUUGCCGGAUCGCCGGAUCGCCUUCCAUCUGGGAUGGAGGUGAUCAAGUGACACGGUCCUGGGGAUGGAGUGUAUCGUCUUUGUGGUCUUCCGUAGACAGGGACCCACAUUCUCUAUUCUUGUAUGUCGAUGAGAUUACUUUGGAGCUUUCUUUGUGAGGCUCUAGGGCCUGAUUAGGAGGCCCGUGACUUGGUUGGGUUCCUUCAAACACGUGCUAACCAGACCGAGAGGAGGAUACACAACUUCUGGCUAGUGUUUUCGGUGUUAGCUUGGACCAUGUGGACAAUUCAGAACAAAAUUGUUGUUAGACGGGGUUUUUUUUCGACGGGCCUCUCAUUCGAUCUUCAAAUUCCUUGUAUUUUUUCAGGAUUGGCACCCCCUGGCCACUUGGUGAUCUUUUCCUAGAUAGUGCGAUCGCGAUAGGCUAGGAGCCUAGGACACAUGAUGGAUGGAAAGACUACUACUACAUGCUGACUUGCCUCACGCGCAGGCCCCCUGGGCCUCUGGCCACUUGGUGAUCUUGUUUUUUUCAUUUCUCUCAUGUUUUUUGGACGUUUUUAACUAGGUGAUUUUUUUUAUUUCUCUCAUGUUUGUUGGGUGUUAUUAUGCUUAUGCCCUAGUGCCGGCCACUUUAGGGGUCUUUUUUCUUAUUUCUCUCAUGUUUGUUUGGGCAUGUUUAUGUUGGUGUCCUGCAAGUGGCGUUCAAAAAUGUGCCAACGACACCACUGUGGUCUUGUCUUAGUGAUGAUGAACAAAAUAUGUCAACGUGAGCCCUGGGAAACUCUUUUCUCUACAAGUGAAUUUUCAAUCAACUUCAUCACUAUUAUAUAUAAUACAAGAAUGUUCACCAUUUACAAAUAAUAAGAAGGUAAAACAACUAAAUGACAUAAUAUAUGAUAUAAAAUGUUCAUCAUUUACAAAUAAAAAUACUUACUCUAAAAACAAUUAUUUUUACUAAUAUAAUACAUAAAUAUUCACCAUUUACGGAAAAAGAAAUGGUAAAACUAUUAAAAGACACACAAUAUAACACAAAGAUGUUCACCUUUUAAAAAUGAUAUUAUUACAUUAAUAAAUAUAAUUCGAAGAGUUCCUAGCUAAAUUAUUUACGAAUACUUAAAACACAUUUUAUUCCAUUAAGAAUAAAUAAUUACAAAAAAAGUAAUUUCAAGAAAUGGACCCGUGUCAUAUAGUGGUGAGGUGGCAAAGCAUGUCAAGCCACAAGUAAUCCUAAUAGUGGUGACGCUUGACGUUAUGCCACGUCACCACUAAGUUGUGACUGCUUACUAUUAUGAGUUCCACCUACAAGUGGCGUUCAAAAAUGUGCCAACGAUAUCACUGUGGUCUUGUCUUAGUGACGGCGAACAAAAUAUGUCAACGUGAGCCAUGGGAAAGUCUUUUCUCUACAAGUGAAUUUUCAAUC